rnacentral:rRNA from 1 species
UAGUCCACGCCGUAAACGAUGGAUACUAGCUGUCCGGGACCUUGAGUCUUGGGCGGCCAAGCGAAAGUGAUAAGUAUCCCACCUGGGGAGUACGUUCGCAAGAAUGAAACUCAAAGGAAUUGACGGGGGCCCGCACAAGCGGUGGAGCAUGUGGUUUAAUUCGAUGAUACGCGAGGAACCUUACCAGGGCUUAAAUGUAGAUUGACAGGACUAGAGAUAGUUUUUCCUUCGGGCAAUUUACAAGGUGCUGCAUGGUUGUCGUCAGCUCGUGCCGUGAGGUGUCAGGUUAAGUCCUAUAACGAGCGCAACCCCUGCCGUUAGUUGCCAGCAUGUUAUGAUGGGGACUCUAACGGGACUGCCGGCGUAAGCCGCGAGGAAGGUGGGGAUGACGUCAAAUCAUCAUGGCCUUUAUGCCCAGGGCUACACACGUGCUACAAUGGCAGGUACAAAGAGUCGCUAAGCCGCGAGGUAGAGCUAAUCUCAGAAAACCUGUCCCAGUUCGGAUUGG